rnacentral:rRNA from 1 species
GCAGUCGAGGGGUAUAGUUCUUCGGAAUAGAGACCGGCGCACGGGUGCGUAACGCGUAUGCAAUCUACCUUUUACAGAGGGAUAGCCCAGAGAAAUUUGGAUUAAUACCUCAUAGUAUAGCAACUUCGCAUGAAGUCACUAUUAAAGUCACAACGGUAAAAGAUGAGCAUGCGUCCCAUUAGCUAGUUGGUAAGGUAACGGCUUACCAAGGCGACGAUGGGUAGGGGUCCUGAGAGGGAGAUCCCCCACACUGGUACUGAGACACGGACCAGACUCCUACGGGAGGCAGCAGUGAGGAAUAUUGGUCAAUGGGCGCAAGCCUGAACCAGCCAUGCCGCGUGCAGGAUGACGGUCCUAUGGAUUGUAAACUGCUUUUGUACAGGAAGAAACACUCCGACGUGUCGGAGCUUGACGGUACUGUAAGAAUAAGGAUCGGCUAACUCCGUGCCAGCAGCCGCGGUAAUACGGAGGACCCAAGCGUUAUCCGGAAUCAUUGGGUUUAAAGGGUCUGUAGGCGGUUUAGUAAGUCAGUGGUGAAAGCCCAUCGCUCAACGGUGGAACGGCCAUUGAUACUGCUAGACUUGAAUUAUUAGGAAGUAACUAGAAUAUGUAGUGUAGCGGUGAAAUGCUUAGAGAUUACAUGGAAUACCAAUUGCGAAGGCAGGUUACUACUAAUGGAUUGACGCUGAUGGACGAAAGCGUGGGUAGCGAACAGGAUUAGAUACCCCUGGUAGUCCACGCCGUAAACCAUGGAUACUAGCUGUUGGGAGCGAUCUCAGUGG